rnacentral:rRNA from 1 species
CCCCACUGCUAUCGGGAUGGGACUAAGACAUGCUAGUCGUGCGUCUCCAAGCCAUGGCGGAGACGCGGCGCACAGCUCAGUAACACGUGGCUAACCUGCCCUUAGGACAGGGACAACCCCGGGAAACUGGGGCUAAUCCCUGAUAGGUGAGGGUUCCUGGAAUGGGCCCUCGCCGCAAGGGCGCCUAGACCAUGCUUCUAGGUGCUGCCCAAGGAUGGAGCCGCGGCCGAUCAGGUUGUUGGUGAGGCAACGGCUCACCAAGCCUUUAACCGGUACGGGCCGUGAGAGCGGGAGCCCGGAGAUGGGUACUGAGACAAGGACCCAGGCCCUACGGGGCGCAGCAGUCGCGAAAACUCCGCAAUACGCGAAAGCGUGACGGGGCUAUCCCGAGUGCCGUCCGCUGAGGAUGGCUUUUCCCUAGUGUAUAAAGCUGGGGGAAUAAGGAGAGGGCAAGCCUGGUGUCAGCCGCCGCGGUAAUACCAGCUCUCCGAGUGGUGGGGAUGCUUAUUGGGCCUAAAGCAUUCGUAGCCGGUUGGGCAAGUCCUCCGUUAAAUCCAGCGAUUCAAUCGUUGGACUGCGGGGGAUACUGCCCGGCUUGGGGGCGGAAGAGGCCGACGGUAUUCUCGGGGUAGGGGUGAAAUCCUAUAAUCCCGGGAGGACCACCAGUGGCGAAGGCUGUCGGCUAGAACGCGCCCGACGGUGAGGGAUGAAAGCUGGGGGAGCGAACCGGAUUAGAUACCCGGGUAGUCCCAGCUGUAAACGAUGCAGGCUAGGUGUUGGCGCGGCUACGUGCCGCUCCAGUGCCGCAAGGAAGCCGUUAAGCCUGCCGCCUGGGAAGUACGGCCGCAAGGCUGAAACUUAAAGGAAUUGGCGGGGGAGCACCACAAGGGGUGAAGCUUGCGGUUU